GACGUAGGGUGCAAACGUUGCUCGGAAUUACUGGGCGUAAAGCGCGUGUAGGCGGCAGCGUGUGUCGGGCGUGAAAUCCCACGGCUCAACCGUGGAAGUGCACUCGAAACUGCGCAGCUAGAGUCCUGGAGAGGAAGGUGGAAUGCUUGGUGUAGAGGUGAAAUUCGUAGAUAUCAAGCGGAACACCGGUGGCGAAGGCGGCCUUCUGGACAGUGACUGACGCUGAGACGCGAAAGCGUGGGGAGCAAACAGG
rnacentral:rRNA from 1 species